GACAAAAGAGACGCAAAAUAACAACAACAUAGAACAGCACCACCUUCUACUUCGGCAGACGAUCUAGAUCUGUCUAGGUCUAGAGUCUAGUCAAGAAUGAGCUCUGUGGAGAAAUGUGGUUUAAUAAAUCGCCUUGAAGGGAUCUCAAUCAGUUGAAACCGAAUCACCAGAAGACCAGCUUUGUGACAAGGCUCAGUGCCACGUGGCAUGGCAACCAUGUGGUCAUUCAGUUUUCUGUUGGUUCUGUCCGGGCUGGUAGCUAUAUCAAAAUGUGAAAAAAGGAUUAAGCUUGUGACAACCAGAGGGUUCCAGAUCUUCAUGGUUGGAGAGACCGUCGAGUUCGCCUGCUCCAUGCAAUCUUCUUCCAGGCCGGAAAUGACAAUUUUUAGUGAUUAUGAACCAAAACAGAAACGGAUCAAAACAGAUGAAAAAAACACGGAAGACGGGAUGGUGUUCUAUAUGUACAUGUCAUUUAUUGCUAGUUCAAUAGACAACGCUAGGACAUUUCUCUGCCGAGUUAUGGAAAAUACAGAAACAAUACAUUCUGAUCCAUUCCUGAUCAAUA
rnacentral:sRNA from 1 species